rnacentral:rRNA from 1 species
UGGGGAAUUGUUCACAAUGGGCGCAAGCCUGAUGACGCAAUGCCGCGUGGAGGAUGAAGGUCUUCGGAUUGUAAACUCCUGUUGCCAGGGACGAAUGGCUCCGACCUAACACGUCGGAGAAUGACGGUACCUGGUGAGGAAGCCCCGGCUAACUCUGUGCCAGCAGCCGCGGUAAUACAGAGGGGGCAAGCGUUGUUCGGAAUUACUGGGCGUAAAGGGCGCGUAGGCGGCCUUCUAAGUCGAACGUGAAAUCCCCGGGCUCAACCCGGGAACUGCGUCCGAUACUGGGAGGCUUGAAUCCGGGAGAGGGAUGUGGAAUUCCAGGUGUAGCGGUGAAAUGCGUAGAUAUCUGGAGGAACACCGGUGGCGAAGGCGGCAUCCUGGACCGGUAUUGACGCUGAGGCGCGAAAGCCAGGGGAGCAAACGGGAUUAGAUACCCCGGUAGUCCUGGCCCUAAACGAUGAAUGCUUGGUGUGGCGGGUAUCGAUCCCUGCCGUGCCGAAGCUAACG